rnacentral:rRNA from 1 species
UACGUAGGGUGCGAGCGUUAAUCGGAAUUACUGGGCGUAAAGUGUGCGCAGGCGGCCGCGCAAGUCGAGUGUGAAAUCCCCGAGCUUAACUCGGGAAUUGCGCUCGAAACUACGUGGCUGGAGUGUGGCAGAGGAAGGUGGAAUUCCACGUGUAGCGGUGAAAUGCGUAGAUAUGUGGAGGAACACCGAUGGCGAAGGCAGCCUUCUGGGCCAACACUGACGCUCAUGCACGAAAGCGUGGGGAGCAAACAGG